rnacentral:rRNA from 1 species
CCUGGCGGCCAUAGCGCGGUGGUCCCACCUGAUCCCAUGCCGAACUCAGAAGUGAAACGCCGUAGCGCCGAUGGUAGUGUGGGGUCUCCCCAUGCG